ensembl:lncRNA
GAACUUUUCCAAAUACUCGUCUAUGUUUGCAUUUCCCCUUCCUGAGAACAGUGAUAUAAAAAUCAUACGAAGCCCUCUAACCUCAAGAGAGCAAAGCCCCAAACAGCAAGUAACUCAUGUGGCUUCUAAUGUAAUGAAGACGUCUGAAUCCUUUGGGGAAGAAUUUCAACAGCUUAGCUCUUACAGCAGUGCAGAUUACUAGGGUGAAAGAUACUGUACAAAACCACAGAAGAUCUGGUUUCCAAUCCCACAGCACCCUGGCUUCUCCUCUGUGAUUUCACACAGUGGGCAACAGUUGAUACCUGAAGAACAAACUCAAGCAUGAGCAAUUUUGCAUCUUCUGCAUCCCCUCUGCCAGACCAAUCAAGCCCCGCUGGGAACACUGAUGGCAGGACCAGAAUUGCCUGUCCCCUCAGCACCUCCAUGCUUUGACGAGACUGAAGACCUUUCCUUUGUUUUUCUUCUCUUGCCAUGACUGUGGUUUCACCUGAUAGAUAUUCCACUUCUAAUUAAAUGUUCUGGCACACGCCUGGUGUGAACCUACAGCAUCCAGACUCCCAUCACAGCGAUCUCUUAGUAUCUAAAGAGGGACUGUAAGAAGGAAAGGGACAGACUCUUCGGCAGAGUCUGCUGUGACAGGACAAGGGGAAAUGGUUUCAAACUGAAAGAGGGGAGAUUUAGUUUGGAUAUGAAGAAAAAGUUUUUUACAAUAAGGGUGCUGAGGCACUGGCACAGAUUGCCCAGAGAGGUGCCCCAUCCCUGGAGACAUCCAAAGUCAGGUUGGAUGGGGCUCUGAGCAACCCGAUGCAGCUGUAGGUGUCCCUGUUCAUUGCAGGGGAGUUGGACCAGAUGGCCUUUAAAUGUCCCUUCUAACUCAAAACGGUUCUAUGAUUCUGAGACUAUGACCCAGAGAUGACUGCCCUUGGUCUUUGAACACUUACCACCCCCCCACCCCCUCAUUCCAGCAGUUCCUGGAAACCCACAGGCUGAGCAAACGGAAGAAGCUCUCUUGAAGACCUAUCGUUGUGCUGUACUAAAGGCUCCAAAGAGCUCCAGGGAAGCUGGAAAAAUGCCAGGAACAACAGCAACAAGUCCCCUGGAGUUGACUGAGAUGAACAGUUUUCAAACAUGCCAUAGCUAAGACAAAGCGAAUAUUUCCCUCCUUGGAGAUUUCCAAAAACUGCCUGGACACAAUCCUGGUUACCCUGCUCUGGGUGUCCCCCCUGGAGCAGGGCUUGGGCCAGGUGGCCUCCGGAGACCCCUGCCAACCUUAACCAUUCUGUGAUCCUGUGAAACUGAUUCCAGACAAUGACAGACCCCGCUCAGGAUAAAAGGGUGCAGAGUGAGGCACUGGGCUUUUUUCCUGCACUCUCGGUUUUGCUUUAUGGUAAUAAAAGGUGACUCUUACUCUUCGGCACCACUGGUGACACAACUACAGAAGCAAAGCGAGCUUCCCUCUCUCCGCAGAAAGCUUCGAAACGCUCACCUGCAUUUUCAACAUCCAACCCUUUUCUCUGCCUUAGCUCAAAGCAAGACCUAAGUGGCAUGAUAGCCACUCAAGGAGUUCCGUGGGACCUGACCUCCAUUGUUCGUCUGGAACUGGCAGGUUGUGUUACAUCCUGCCCCUCUCCAGCCCUUGUAGAGGCCCUCACCUCCCUGCCCUCAGCGAUUGCUGCCUCUUCUGACUGCAGCCAAACAGCACAGAAAAUGAAAAACACACGCAUUCAAAGAGAUUGAGCACCUGGCAUCAGAAGUGCUUUAACUGCAGUCGCACCCAUAGUAAAAAUUAUAGUCCUAUAAAUUACAUGUGGAACUAUAAUAUGGUCAAGGUCUUUUUGAAGUUUCCGACCUAGCAAGUUAUACAUGGUAAAGGUCAUCGUAAAAGCACUGGAGAAGUUAAAAUCUGUAUGACCUCAAGAGUUUUCUGAUGACUUUUAUCAGCGUUAUCUUUUAACUCAAAUGCAUAAGAAAUCAGCAGUUGCAAAAGGUCUUGCAUAUGUAUCAGGAGAACUGCCUAUGGAACAAUGUACACGUGGCCCGAUGCAGCUGCACAUUUGAUGCUGCGUAUGGAAGGAGCACGUGCCUGUAGCUGGUAGCAUGCAAAUACAGAGGAAGUGGAGGUUUCUUACUCCCCAGUAAAACACCUUCCUUCUCACCUCCAGAAUGCUUCCAGACUGAAAGCAGUGGAAGAGAUGAUUCAUACAGCAUUUGCAAGAUUUGUAAAAUCUUAUCAAUUCUGAAGUCCAAUUUGUGCUAAUCAGGGCAUAUCACAAGUGCAAAUGUUAACCCAAAGGAGCAGCUAAAUGACUGGUGCAACGAGAUGAAAUUUAACCAUCUGAAAGUUCACUCGUGGCCAUACGAACAAAUCACCACCCUCCUCCAUUCGUCCUGCUGCUUACUUCCCACUCUUAAACAAUCGUAACAAGAUGAUGUGUCUUGAACCCUAAUCCACCACCUUUGACAUAAACUCCUGUGAGCAGGUCAGUGUCAGCAUGCAACCACGCAUGUUUCCCUUAGGAACUGGGCAGCUGGCUGCUAUUCUCAUCCAAGAUCACAGUCCCCCCUUGAGAGAUGCCAAGACACUCGUGCUGCCUCAUCUGCCAUUGAGCACAGGGCACAGAGACUCCAGGAAAGUCAGAGAUCUGCCUUCAGACUGGUUCUUACUUUCUUCUACUGAGGUUUUCCAGCUCCUUUUAAAACCUACCUAAAAACCUCCACAAACAACCAGUGGGGCAGGAUGUUGCACAGCUGAACUUGUUAAGUAGCAGGCAAUACGUUUAGGGGAUCCUCAUUCGUUUCUCCUUUGCGUCAAUCAUCAGCAUCAAAUAAGAAAAGUGAGCAUUUCCCAGGAGUGUCAGUGAACUGACGCAAUUUCAGCAGCUUUGUACGCAGUAUAUAAAACUCAAAGGAGUAAAGUUCAAUUUUAAUUGUGCAGCUGAUAUCAUGAAGUAAACAGGCGUUUUCUUCUAAAGACUUUUAAAACAGAUUUUUAAUCUUUCGGGACAGCUUAGCGUAAGAGUCCAAUGCUACUUUCAGCUAUAAAUCUAUAAAUCACUGUAAACCUCGAGUAACUCGGAUAAUCUUCUCAAUCCAACACCAAAAUCAUAUUUUCUUCUUCACUGAAACUUUGAGGUUGUGCAAUGAAGGAAAUGCUCGAUGGAAUAACUCCAGACUUUGAACAAGGCUACAGAAACUGCUGCUUUGACUGUCUGAACUGCCUUUCCUCCUGCAAGCUGGUAAUGAGGCUGAUUAGUUACUAUUUAGAAGAAUCCCAUCUUUUUUUCAGUUGGAUGCAGAAAAAGCAGCGUUCUAAACCCAACAUUUCCAAACCAUGAACUGAACCCUGGUUCUAAACCAGUAAAACUUCCUAGUUUCUUAGUUUCAGGUUGAAACUUCUCAGCAAAAUAGAACCUGAGAUUUAUAAUGCUUAUGUCAACUGGUCUUGAACCAUACCAGUGUCAUACUGCGUUCCAUGCCCAAC